GAUGAACGCUGGCGGCGUGCCUAAUACAUGCAAGUCGAGCGAACAGAUAAGGAGCUUGCUCCUUUGACGUUAGCGGCGGACGGGUGAGUAACACGUGGGUAACCUACCUAUAAGACUGGGAUAACUUCGGGAAACCGGAGCUAAUACCGGAUAACAUUUGGAACCGCAUGGUUCUAAAGUGAAAGAUGGUUUUGCUAUCACUUGUAGAUGGACCCGCGCCGUAUUAGCUAGUUGGUAAGGUAACGGCUUACCAAGGCAACGAUACGUAGCCGACCUGAGAGGGUGAUCGGCCACACUGGAACUGAGACACGGUCCAGACUCCUACGGGAGGCAGCAGUAGGGAAUCUUCCGCAAUGGGCGAAAGCCUGACGGAGCAACGCCGCGUGAGUGAUGAAGGGUUUCGGCUCGUAAAACUCUGUUAUUAGGGAAGAACAAAUGUGUAAGUAACUGUGCACGUCUUGACGGUACCUAAUCAGAAAGCCACGGCUAACUACGUG
rnacentral:rRNA from 1 species